UGCUCAUUUUAGUCCAGGUUUGUGGUUUGUUAUGUUGCUGGAUUCCAGCCAUCAUGAUCUGUUGACAUUGAAUUCCCCACUGAGCGUCCUUGAGAUCUGGAUUAUUCAGUAGAGACGAGACACACAUGCAGUAUAGCAGUAAAUCUUCCUGUGUUGGAACACACUGAAUGCAAAAAUUUGAAAACUGUUUUUGAUGUUCUCCAGUUAUAUUUGUGUAAGCUAAAUCAGCAGUGGACUCAUUGUGUGACCUAAUAUGGUAUUAAAUAUCUUUAUUCUUGUUGUGGCCAAACACUGUAAUCUGAUCUCAUCGUCAGAGAUUUGCAUCAUCAGUUAUUGUAAUGAAAAUAACAAAGACAAGAUCGAUUUUAAAAGAAAGAAAAGAGACUAAACCAGUUCAGGCACAUUCUCCAGUCGCUUCAUGCGUCACAGAAGCUGAUAGACAUAUUUACUCGGUCAUUUCCUGGUCGAUUCUGGUGUUCUUUGCUGUGAUUACUGGAGGUUUGACGCUUCAGUAGCUGCCUGCUUUAAGGAUUUAAAUGAAACAAAAAUCUGAAAAAAGAAAUAAAUAUUUCCAAAUCUGGAUUUAGUAGGAUGACGAGAAAACUAAAAGAGAUGCCAGAGUGAAAGAACAAAAUACAGCUGAACAAAAAGAAAAGAGGACAAAGGAAAGUGCACUGAGAGGCAAAGCCGAACCUACGCAGAAGGAAACAACAAUGAAGAGAGGAAAAGAAAAUGCCUGUGGAUUCAGAGAACAUCUUAAAGUGCACCAGAUGAACAGCCUUGACAAAUAUCGACCGGACUACUGACCUGCAGAAAAUCAUUUUAUGUGAGAGAUAUUCAAAGAUGAGAAUGUUCUUCGCAUCACUUUCAGUCAAUGAUUCAGAAUGAGACUGGAAUACAAAACACCAAUAUUUUUGAGUUCAUAACUUGAUGACUAUAACUGUACUGUGUACAUAUUUAAACAUAUUAAGAUUUAAUAUUGUGUACACAGGAUUAUAUAUGUGUCAUAUGAUAGCAAUACGAUCAAUUAGUGCUAAAGUAGUAACACUGAAAUCAAAAGUUUGAACUGUUUUGCACUAUUUGAACUGUAGCUGUACAUAGUUCUCAUUUCUAGUAUAAAGAGCAUUGAGAACAAUGACUGUAAAGCAGUAGUUGUUCCAGAAAUGCCAGGUCACUCUUUUCCAUGUGAUCAUACAGUGAGACUGGAGAUUUCCUAAAGCUUCAUGGUUUGGUUUGUAGACAAACUGUCUAGAUUUUAACUCCUGUGACUUCAGGCACUUUAUUCUGGCAUGCAGAAGAUGAUUAUUCUUCUUUAAACGUGUCAUUACUUUACUUGUAUUUUCUGUUAAGGAGGUGUUUUUAUCUGAAGCAUCUAGUACCUGGUGUCGAGUGUCGAGUUCAGGUGCACAUUGAUCUCUGUUUAUGAAUUGCAUGAAGCAAACGAUCACAGGGGAUUGAGUUUCUGUAUUAUUUUGAGUCUGUUCACUUUGUGAAAGAUUAUGAAAGUGUCCAAGUGUACAUUACACUGUCCUUAUUCCUGAACAGGUGUUUGUUUUCAGUCAUUAUGAUGACUAUCCAAAUCUGUCCAAGUGUCUGUUGCUUUGCAUUCCACAAUAAAUAUUUCACUUCAGCCAA